rnacentral:rRNA from 1 species
GCCUUACUAGGUACACUUUCCAGUACACCUACUAUGUUACGACUUAUCCCACUUUAGAGUGGGAGCGACGGGCGAUAUGUGCAUAUUUUAGAGCUAAAAUCAUAUAAUCUAACUAAAUUAUAUUACUAUCAAAUCCACUUUAUACUAUAAUGUUAAUUAUAAUAACCAUUUAAAUAUAUUUAUUGUAACCCAUCUCUUCUUAUCUAUGCGCUGUAUCUUGAUCUGAUUUCCUUUAUCUUAAUAAAUCAUGAACAUUCCUUUUUCUCUUAAAACAUUCAACCUACGACGAUAUACAAACCUAUAAAAUAAGUACAAUUAAUCGUGGAUCAUCAAUUACAGGACAGGUUCCUCUGAAUAGACUAAAAUACCGCCAGAUUCUUUGAAUUUCAAGAACAUAACUACUACUACUCUAGUAUAACAAUUUAAAUUUUCAAUAAUAGGGUAUCUAAUCCUAGUUUACUUCAAAAAUUUCGUAACCUCAUAUCAUAUUUUAUAGUUUAUAUAAAAUUAAUAAUUUCACCUAAUAACUUUACUUUAAAACUAAAACAAAUUACAUUAAUUACUUACUAAACUUAUUUAAUCGCGCUAUUUGUGUAACCGCAACUGCUGGCACAAAUUUUGUCAACACUAUUAUAAAUCCCUAAAUCAAAGUUCCCUUUAUUUUUAAUCUUCAAUAUUGCUACCUUAUUGUUAAUUUACAAUGUAUCUAUUUAAAACACACUAAAUUUCCCACAAAAAUUAGCAUAUAAAAUAGGCUAUAAACAAAAGACUUAAGCUAGAAUAAAACUUUAA